CAGCAGCCGCGGUAAUACGAAGGGGGCUAGCGUUGCUCGGAAUGACUGGGCGUAAAGCGCGCGUAGGCGGUUUUUUAAGUCUGAUGUGAAAGCCCACGGCUCAACCGUGGAGGGUCAUUGGAAACUGGAAGACUUGAGUGCAGAAGAGGAAAGUGGAAUUCCAUGUGUAGCGGUGAAAUGCGCAGAGAUAUGGAGGAACACCAGUGGCGAAGGCGACUUUCUGGUCUGUAACUGACGCUGAUGUGCGAAAGCGUGGGGAUCAAACAGGAUUAGAUACCCCCGUAGUCCCUGUCUCUUAUAC
rnacentral:rRNA from 1 species